rnacentral:rRNA from 1 species
GCCGCGUGAGUGAUGAAGGCCUUCGGGUCGUAAAGCUCUGUCCUCAAGGAAGAUAUGACGGUACUUGAGGAGGAAGCCCCGGCUAACUACGUGCCAGCAGCCGCGG